rnacentral:rRNA from 1 species
UACGUAGGGUCCGAGCGUUGUCCGGAAUUACUGGGCGUAAAGAGCUCGUAGGUGGUUUGUCGCGUUGUUCGUGAAAACUCACAGCUUAACUGUGGGCGUGCGGGCGAUACGGGCAGACUUGAGUACUGCAGGGGAGACUGGAAUUCCUGGUGUAGCGGUGGAAUGCGCAGAUAUCAGGAGGAACACCGGUGGCGAAGGCGGGUCUCUGGGCAGUAACUGACGCUCAUGCACGAAAGCGUGGGGAGCAAACAGG